UUUUUAUUCCAAUUUCGGUCAUAUAUAGAAAAUACAAAGAUUAAUUGUCCAUGGAUUAGUAGAUGCAUGAACUCAUUUACUGACACAAAUGCAUAUCAAUUAACUGUUCCCUUGAUAUUCAUGAGACUAACCAAAGCAAUUCAAAUACAACAUAGUUGAUAGAUCUUUUACUACCUAAUUGCUCAAUCCCUCAUGCCUCGCCCAUAUCUCAUGGCAAUCAAAUGACUGUCUCAAACUGAAAGGUUGCCUAUUUAGUUCUAUUUUUUCUGAGUGGGUGCCAAUAGACCUGCUCCUCACUACAUUUCAAAAUUAAGUACAAUCAAAUGCAUAGGUUUCAUUGAGCAACUCAAGUUUAUAAACCAUUGAGGUCUACACUCACCUAUCUAUAUAUAUACUACCCUCAUCAAUCCUAAGUUCAGCAUUGGAAGCAAUAUUUAUGCCUAUUUAGUUCUUCAUUUACCAAUCAACUAAAUAACAAAGAAAAUUACAACAUCAAUUAAGAUAUGAGAUAUCUCAAUCUUAGGUGCUUGCCUUACCAUAAUCUUCAUACGGAGAGGAGCUGGACCUCUUAAUUCAGUAUUAUUCUUUGUGAUGCUUCUUCAACUCUUCAAGCAGUAUAUCGAACAACAUUAACUGAGCAUGUCUGCUAAAAGAACACAAAUCUUUGUUAGGAUUAGAAAGUAUGAUACUGGAAACUAUUACAGCUUUUAGGGAGCAAGUUGAUGCCUAAGGCAUGUGGAGAAGAUGUGAAUACAAAAACUUCAUCACAAUAAUCUCUCAUUAGAGAUGUUGAAUAAUCGUUUAGAGAAACACAAUAUUUCAUCAGAGUAGAAAAGGAGGUGGGUAUAUGUUAAUUUGUACAUAUAUGGAAAAGAAAGUCGGCAAACUAUGAUUACUUAAUAGCUUUACCUCUUCGACCACUUAUUUUUUAUAGGGUGCUGUCACUGGAUACCCAUGGUGCUAAUUGAGCUAAAUGUGGGUCUGUUCUCAAGGUGAUGGCACUCAAGAGAGAAGUAUAACCGUUUUAGCGGUUACAUGCGAUGAUGAAAUUAUGUUUAUUUUUUAUUUAUUUUUGGUGGCAAUGAUGCAAUUAUGUUACCCAUGAACCUGCCAUCUAAAUAGUAAAUACAGUACUAGUUAAUAGUUAUAUACUUAUAUCAUCCAAUCAUCUAAAUGCUAUGUGAGUUAUAGCUACUUGACAAAAAUAACCAAGUCUUGCCAAGUGUAUAUUGUUCUUUUUUAAUGUUCAAAGGAACCUGCCUCCCCUUCUUCUUUCAUUGAUACUAGUAUAUUGAUAUAUAUUACAACUUCACAGAACUAGUCACCAAUAUCUACCACCAGACAACUGGUUUUGUGAAUUGUGAUGAAAUGACAACAAUGUCAAAGCAGCUAUUGGCAUCUAAACAGUAAGGAAUCUUUCUAGCUUAUAUCUCAAUCAAGCUAUCGUUGAAAAUCUCUGUCUUGGUCAAGCCAUUAAAUAUAAAUGUUAGUACGACUUUUGAAUAAAUAACUGUGAUCUUUACCUGUUUGAAUAAAUGACUCUAAGAGGGAUGUUCAAAGUAACAUUUAAAUGGUUUCGAGUAAAGGGUUUUUAUGUAACAUCUUUUACUAAUUACGUACUGAUUAAUCAAACUUGAUGUGAAAUGGUAAUUCAUGUAUGUGGCUGAGUUGCUCCAUUGUCAAAAUUAAGCAAAAUCAACGGCAAUAAAAACCCUCUCAAGUUCUUUCAAAGAUACUAAUGACCAAAUAGUGGUAAAGGGUGAACAUGUUGGAUGGUGAUUAUCCUUGUUAAGAGCAUCUUCAGUGACAAAGUUAUUUGACACUAUCCACAUUAAUCAAAACUCCAAAUAAUGUGUUUAACUUUAGCAAGUCUUUCUUUAGGUCAACAUGAGACAUGAUUUACAUCUCCUACAGUCCUACAGUAUGGAAAUCUUGCAAUGAACUGACAUGACCACAUAUAGUUUGACUAAACCCUUCACUACUGUCUACAUUAUUGUUUUGUCUAUCUUCGUUGCAACUUCUUCGCGUCAUAUAUAUUUUUGUAAUCAAAAGUUUUCCUCUUCAAACAAUAGUUCUACCAUUUUCAAUUUCAUCAAAUUGUGUGUUUAAUACCUUUAACGUCGUCAAUGGAGAUUGCAGCUGCUGCUGGUGGAGAAGCCACGAAGUGUGCCUUUGCUC
rnacentral:lncRNA from 1 species